rnacentral:rRNA from 1 species
CUGCUCAAUGACCAUUUUAAUAGCCGCAGAAAUUUAACUGUGCUAAGGUAGCAUAAUCAUUAGCUCUUUAAUUAAGAGCUCGUAUGAAAGGUUAAACAUUAUAUAUUCUAUAACCCUUUUAAUAAAUCAAAAUUUAAUUAAGAAUCAAAAUGUUCUUAUUAUAUAAAUAGACGAUAAGACCCUAUUGAACUUUACUUUAGUUUAACUGGGGCAGUUAACUAAUAAUAAUCUUAAUUAAUCUCUUUUUAUAAAAAUCCAAUCUAUUUGAAUUUGAAUAAGUUACCAUAGGGAUAACAGCGUAAUUUGUUUCUAAAGUUCUUAUUUAAAAACAAGAUUGCGACCUCGAUGUUGAAUUAGUGUUCCUUUUUAAAUG